rnacentral:lncRNA from 1 species
UUUUUUUACAUAAAUAAGGCCGUUAGUUUUCUCGUUUGAAUUGUUUUACAUUGUCUUAUCGGGGCCUUUUAUAGCUCACUAUGCGGUAUGGGCUUUGCUUAUUGUUGAAGCCGUACGGUGACCUAUAGUUGUUAAUGUCUAUGUCAUUUUGGUCUUUUGUGGAUAGUUGUCUCAUUGGCAAUCAUACCACAUCUUCUUUUUUAU